rnacentral:lncRNA from 12 species
AGAUUCAUCAGCAGUUUCUGAGGCUCUGGGGAUCUGCUUAUAAAGAUUCUUCAAAUCUUCACCUGGGAGCCUUCUAUGAAACAUGUAGAUAGUCUCCUGAAGCCAUGAGCUCUCAUCAGAGAUCACCUUCCCCUUGGAAUGUGGCAGCUGCUGGAAAAUGAGAAAGGCAACAUCCACAGAAGUUUCUGUCUGACUGACCUCUGAACAUAAUAGAGACCCCUCCACGGCUUAAUUUAAUAAGCAGUAAGUGUCUGGAGCUGACCUGGACCAGAUGGAAUCC